rnacentral:rRNA from 1 species
AGUUAAGCUUAUAAAGGGCAAAUGGUGGAUGCCUUGGGUAGUAGAGGCGAUGAAGGACGCACUAGACUGCGAUAAGCUAUGGGGAGCUGUCAAGAAGCUUUGAUCCAUAGAUUUCCCAAUGGGGCAACCCAGCUAGUAGCAAUACUAGCUAUGUGAGUAACAAAGAGUAGAAAGAAAGUAUAAGAAAUCUUUCUAAUUUUUAAAACUUUGUUAAGAGACUUUAAUCUUUAUAGUCAGUCUUUAAAGAUUAUAAAUACUUUUAUACAAUAUCUUAAUCUUAGUAAUUUUCUAGAUUAAGAAUAAUAAAAUCUUUUCUAUUCUUUGUUGCUCACAGGCGAACCUAGUGAAGUGAAACAUCUCAGUAACUAGAGGAAAAGAAAUCAAACGAGAUUCUCUUAGUAGCGGCGAGCGAAAGGGGAAAAGGGCAAACCCAAUGCUUGCAUUGGGGGUUGAGGACUGCAAUAUCCACUAAAAUACAUUAAUAGAACAUUCUGGAAAGGAUAGCCAUAGAGGGUGAUAGUCCCGUAUAUGAAAAUGUAUUUUUAGGUAGCAGUAUCCAGAGUAGGUCAGGACACGUGAAAUCCGGGCUGAAGCAGGGGAGACCACUCUCCAACCCUAAAUACUACUACUACACCGAUAGCGAACCAGUACCGUGAGGGAAAGGUGAAAAGAACCGCAGUGAGCGGAGUGAAAUAGAACCUGAAACCAUUUGCCUACAAUCAUUCAGAGCCCUAUUGUAGGCUCAUUUGAGCCUUUAAGCGUAGUAACCUGCUUGACAUUCUCGCUUUGAAAAUUUCUAGAAUUUUAAAAAACUCAUUGCGACAGCCAUUAGGGCUAGUCUCACUUGUUUUUUAGAACACUUCCUAAAAAUUUUCUUUGCGAUAAUGCCAAGAUGAAUGCAAGAUAAAUGAAAGUUGGAAUCCUAAAGAUUUAAACCAUCAUAAAGAUAGAUUAAAACCUAGGAAUUCCAAACCUAGAAAUACAAGAGCAACAGAAAUUCUAAGAUUGUGCGUGAAUUUUUAGGGUUGUGCAGUAAAAUGCGCGGAGAUUAGCCUUAGGGCUAUCACACAAGCAUUUUACAAAACUCCCUAAAAAGUCACCACAAGAUGAAUUUAGCUUAAAGUUUCAAGUGAGCCUACAAGGGUGAUGGACUGCCUUUUGCAUAAUGAUCCUGCGAGUUGUGGUAUCUGGCAAGGUUAAACCAAUGUGAAGCCAUAGCGAAAGCGAGUCUGAAUAGGGCGUUUAGUCAGAUGCUGCAGACCCGAAGCUGAGUGAUCUAUCCAUGGCCAAGUUGAAAGUGGGGUAACACCCACCGGAGGACUGAACUCGUACCCAUUGAAACGGGUUGGGAUGAGCUGUGGAUAGGGGUGAAAGGCCAAUCAAACUCAGUGAUAGCUGGUUCUCUUCGAAAUAUAUUUAGGUAUAGCCUCAAGUGAUAGUAAUAGGGGGUAGAGCUCUGAUUGGGCUAGGGCUGCUCACCGCGGUACCAACCCCUGUCAAACUACGAAUACCUAUUACCGUAUCUUGGGAGUCAGGCGGUGGGUGAUAAAAUCAAUCGUCAAAAGGGGAACAACCCAGACUACCAACUAAGGUCCCCAAGUUCUAUUCUAAGUGGAAAAUGAUGUGAAGUUACUCAGACAACCAGGAGGUUGGCUUAGAAGCAGCCAUCCUUUAAAGAUAGCGUAACAGCUCACUGGUCUAGUGAUUUUGCGCAGAAAAUAUAACGGGGCUAAGAUAGACACCGAAGUUGUAGAUUGUGCUGAUGCACAGUGGUAGAAGAGCGUUGCAUACAGCGUCGAAGCCAUACCGGUAAGGAGUGGUGGAGCGUAUGCAAGUGAGUAUGCAGGAAUGAGUAGCGAUAAAAGUGGUGAGAAUCCACUUCGCCGAAAAUCUAAGGUUUCCUACGCUAUGCUCGUCAUCGUAGGGUUAGUCGGGUCCUAAGACAAGUCCGAAAGGGGUAGUCGAUGGAAAAUUGGUUAAUAUUCCAAUACCAAUAUUAGUGUGCGAUGGGGGGACGCAUAGGGUCAAGAUGAGCCAAGUGAUAGAAGUCUUGGUCGAAGGGUGCAAGUAAGAAGAUUGGCAAAUCCGCUUCCUUUUCCCAAACCCAACAGGCUCUUUGAAGUCUUCGGAUGGAUAGGAGAAUCAUUAAGAUCGUCGUGCCAAGAAAAGCCUCUAAGUUUAGCUAAUAUUGCCCGUACCGUAAACCGACACAGGUAGAUGAGAUGAGUAUUCUAAGGCGCGUGAAAGAACUCUCUUUAAGGAACUCUGCAAACUAGCACCGUAAGUUCGCGAUAAGGUGUGCCACAGCAAUGUGGUCUCAGCAAAGAGUCCCUCCCGACUGUUUACCAAAAACACAGCACUUUGCAAACUCGUAAGAGGAAGUAUAAGGUGUGACGCCUGCCCGGUGUUCGAAGGUUAAGAGGAUUAGUUAGCAGCAAUGCAAAGCUUUGAAUUGAAGCCCGAAUAAACGGCGGCCGUAACUAUAACGGUCCUAAGGUAGCGAAAUUCCUUGUCGGUUAAAUACCGACCUGCAUGAAUGGCGUAACGAGAUGGGAGCUGUCUCAAAGAGUGAUUCAGUGAAAUUGUAGUGGAGGUGAAAAUUCCUCCUACCCGCGGCAAGACGGAAAGACCCCGUGGACCUUUACUACAGCUUGGCACUGCCGAUGGGAGCAUUAUGCGCAGCAUAGGUGGGAGGCUAUGAAAUCUUUACUCUGGUAGAGAUGGAGCCAUCGUUGAGAUACCACCCUUAAUGUUUCUGUCUGCUAACUAGCUAGAGUUAUCCUCUAGUAGGACAAUGCCUGGUGGGUAGUUUGACUGGGGCGGUCGCCUCCUAAAAAGUAACGGAGGCUUGCAAAGGUUGGCUCAUUGCGGUUGGAAAUCGCAAGAAGAGUGUAAUGGCAUAAGCCAGCCUGACUGUAAGACAAACAAGUCAAGCAGAGACGAAAGUCGGUCAUAGUGAUCCGGUGAUUCUGUGUGGAAGGGUCAUCGCUCAAAGGAUAAAAGGUACCCCGGGGAUAACAGGCUGAUCUCCCCAAGAGCUCACAUCGACGGGGAGGUUUGGCACCUCGAUGUCGGCUCAUCGCAUCCUGGGGCUGGAGCAGGUCCCAAGGGUAUGGCUGUUCGCCAUUUAAAGCGGUACGCGAGCUGGGUUCAGAACGUCGUGAGACAGUUCGGUCCCUAUCUGCCGUGGGCGUAGGAGAGUUGAGGAGAUCUGUCCCUAGUACGAGAGGACCGGGAUGGACAUACCACUGGUGUAGCUGUUGUCCUGCUAUGGGCAUCGCAGCGUAGCUACGUAUGGAUGUGAUAAACGCUGAAAGCAUCUAAGCGUGAAGCCAACUCCAAGAUGAACUCUCCCUGAAGGUCGCAAGAAGACUACUUGCUUGAUAGGGUAGAGGUGUAAGCAUAGUAAUAUGUUUAGCUGACUACUACUAAUAGACCGUUUGGCUUAAUUGAU